rnacentral:rRNA from 1 species
UACGUAGGGUGCGAGCGUUAAUCGGAAUUACUGGGCGUAAAGCGUGCGCAGGCGGUUCGUUGUGUCGGCGGUGAAAGCCCCGGGCUCAACCUGGGAAUGGCCGUUGAAACUGGCGAACUGGAGUGUGGCAGAGGGGGGUGGAAUUCCGCGUGUAGCAGUGAAAUGCGUAGAGAUGCGGAGGAACACCGAUGGCGAAGGCAGCCCCCUGGGCUAACACUGACGCUCAGGCACGAAAGCGUGGGGAGCAAAAGGG